rnacentral:rRNA from 1 species
AUUGAACGCUGGCGGCAUGCCUUACACAUGCAAGUCGAACGGCAGCACGGGGCAGCCUGGUGGCGAGUGGCGAACGGGUGAGUAAUGCAUCGGAACGUACCUUUCAGUGGGGGAUAACGUAGCGAAAGUUACGCUAAUACCGCAUAUUCUGUGAGCAGGAAAGCAGGGGACCGCAAGACCUUGCGCUGAUUGAGCGGCCGAUGUCAGAUUAGCUAGUUGGUGAGGUAAAGGCUCACCAAGGCGACGAUCUGUUGCGGGUCUGAGAGGAUGAUCCGCCACACUGGAACUGAGACACGGUCCAGACUCCUACGGGAGGCAGCAGUGGGGAAUUUUGGACAAUGGGGGCAACCCUGAUCCAGCCAUGCCGCGUGAGUGAAGAAGGCCUUCGGGUUGUAAAGCUCUUUCGGCCGGGAAGAAAUCGCACGGGCUAAUACCCUGUGUGGAUGACGGUACCGGAAUAAGAAGCACCGGCUAACUACGUGCCAGCCGCCGCCGUAAGAC